GACGAACGCUGGCGGCGUGCUUAACACAUGCAAGUCGAACGGAAAGGCCCUGCUUUUGUGGGGUGCUCGAGUGGCGAACGGGUGAGUAACACGUGAGUAACCUGCCCUUGACUUUGGGAUAACUUCAGGAAACUGGGGCUAAUACCGGAUAGGAGCUCCUGCUGCAUGGUGGGGGUUGGAAAGUUUCGGCGGUUGGGGAUGGGCUCGCGGCUUAUCAGCUUGUUGGUUGGGUAGUGGCUUACCAAGGCUUUGACGGGUAGCCGGCCUGAGAGGGUGACCGGCCACAUUGGGACUGAGAUACGGCCCAGACUCCUACGGGAGGCAGCAGUGGGGAAUAUUGCACAAUGGGCGGAAGCCUGAUGCAGCAACGCCGCGUGCGGGAUGACGGCCUUCGGGUUGUAAACCGCUUUCGCCUGUGACGAAGCGUGAGUGACGGUAAUGGGUAAAGAAGCACCGGCUAACUACGUG
rnacentral:rRNA from 1 species